AAGUCGUAACAAGGUUUCCGUAGGUGAACCUGCGGAAGGAUCAUUAACACAUCCAAACGUUAAACCCCCCUGUGAACUUCAGCCGUACUCGUACGUCCGUGAGAAAAAGCAGCAAUCUGGUAAAUCAUCGCCGAACAGUUUUCGAUUCGAGGGACGUCUGCCAUGUUGUGCGUGUAAGUGGCCUGGCAUCCCCGCAGUUGGUGUCUGAAAGUGUCACUAACGUUAGUGUCUGAAAGUGUCACUAACAUGUUAAGGAUGACGCAGUCACGUUGGAGGCCCACACGGCGACCGGGUCACCGGGCGCAAGCCCCCUUAUCACACCCAUGCUCUAUCUCUGGUGAUCCUGCGGGAAGUUCUGCGGUCGAACGACGAAACCGAACAGAACAACUGUUAACAAUGGAUAUCUUGGUUCUC
rnacentral:misc_RNA from 1 species